UCGCUCCUGUGAUGUUCAGCACUGGGCUCUGAUAGCAUGACGACGAAGUGCAGCUUUGCCCUUGACAAGGCAGACCCUGAGGAGACC